GGUGGACAUUGGCCCGAUUC
rnacentral:misc_RNA from 1 species